rnacentral:tRNA from 1 species
GCCGAAGUGGCGGAAUUGGCAGACGCGCUGGAUUCAAAAUCCUGUGAGGGCAACCUCGUGUGGGUUCGACUCCCACCUUCGGCA